rnacentral:lncRNA from 1 species
GGAGGAGGAGGAGGCGCUCAUCAAGUUCGUGGCGCUGCUGGAGAAGGAGGAGGACUUCCUCGACGCCAAGGCGGAGGCGGAGAAGGAGGCGGAGAAGUGUGGCUCCAAGAGGAAGGUGGAGUUGGAGCGGGAUGAGGAGGGGGCAGCGUUCCUGGCGUGGAUCGAGUCCACCAAGCCACAGACGGACCAAGUGGAUUACUCGGAUGGGGAUGUGUCGGACGGCUACCACUCGCAGGACGACAACAUCGGCAGCGACGGCAGGGUCAUGUCGCGGUAUGAGCGCCAUGUUCAGGCCAACAACGCUCGCUGUCCUUUCUUGGUGGGGGCCUAAUCCCAUCCA